CCUCAUUUCAUGGAUCAGUGAACAAGGUUAAGUUUUGGUGGUCAAGUCCAUAUCUCAGAUACUAUAAGCAAUAGGUCUAGUAUAUUCGGUGUAUGGAAGGACUGUAAGGUGUACAUGUCCAACUGGCAGGGGUCAUCUGACCUUGACCUCAUUUUCAAGGUUCAGUGGUCAAAGUUAAGUUUUUGAGUUUUGGUCUUUUUUUCUAAUACUAUAUGCAAUAGUUCAACUAUAUUUGGUAUGUGCGUACCUUGCAAGGUCCUCAUGCCGGUCAGACAGUUUUCACUUGACCUUGACCUCAUUUCAUGGAUCAGUGAACAAGGUUAAGUUUUGGUGGUCAAGUCCAUAUCUCAGAUACUAUAAGCAAUAGGUCUAGUAUAUUCGGUGUAUGGAAGGUCUGUAAGGUGUACAUGUCCAACUGGCAGGUGUCAUCUGACCUUGACCUCAUUUUCAUGGUUCAGUGGUUAUAGUUAAGUUUUUGUGUUUUGGUCUGUUUUUCUUAUACUGUAUGCAAUAGGUCUACUAUAUUUGGUGUAUGGAAGGAUUGUAAGGUGUACAUGUCUAGCUGGCAGGUGUCAUCUGACCUUGACCUCAUUUUCAUGGUUCAGUGGUUAUAGUUGAGUUUUUGUGUUUUGGUCUGUUUUUCUUAUACUGUAUGCAAUAGGUCUACAAUAUUUGGUGUAUGGAAUGAUUGUAAGGUGUACAUGUCUAGCUGGCAGGUGUCAUCUGACCUUGACCUCAUUUUCAUGGUUCAGUGGUUAUAGUUAAAUUUUUGUGUUUUGGUUUGUUUUUCUUAUACUGUAUGCAAUAGGUCUACAAUAUUUGGUGUAUGGAAUGAUUGUAUGGUGUACAUGUCUAGCUGGCAGGUGUCAUCUGACCUUGACCUCAUUUUCAUGGUUCAGGGGUCAAAGUUAAGUUUUUGAGUUUUGGUCUUUUUUUUUCUAAUACUGCAUGCAAUAGGUCUACUAUAUUUGGUGUAUGGAACGAUUGUAAGGUGUACAUGUCUAGCUGGCAGGUGUCAUCUGACCUUGACCUCAUUUUCAUGGUUAAGUGGUCAAAGUUAAGUUUUUGAGAUUUGAUCUUUUUUUCUAAUACUAUAUGCAAUAGUUAAACUACAUUUGGUGUAUGGAAAUAUUUUAUGAUCUAUAUGUCAGUCACGCAGGUUUUAUUUGACCUUGACCUCAUUUUCAAGGUUCAUUGCUCAGUGUUAAGUUUUUGUGUUUUGGUCUGUUUUUCUUAAACUAUAAGCAAUAGGUCAACCAUAUUUGUUGUAUGGAAGAAUUGUUAGCUGUACAUGCCUGCCUAGCAUGGUUCAUCUGACCUUGACCUCAUUU